rnacentral:lncRNA from 1 species
UGUCACUGUGGGUGUGGGUUACAAGACCCUUGGGUCUGUGAUCUAGGUGGCCAGCUCUGCCAAGAGAGAUGCUUGGAAGUGAGUAUUCUGCUAGCAGCCUUCAGUUGAAGAUGUAGAACAUUCAGCUCCUCCUGUGCCAUGCCUACCUGGACAACGUCAUGCUCCUGCCUUGAUGAUAAUGGACUGAACCUCUGAACCUAUGACGCUAGUUCAUGCUAAGUUGACAAAACUCUACCUUGGUGAAUGUUGGUCUGUGCUCCCAUUGUUUUGGGUAGUGAUGGAAGAGGCUGCUGUCUGAAACACCUUAGGGACUGUCCUUCAGAAGGGGUAAUCGUCUCAUCAAGCUGUCCAGAAAGCAAAGUCCAUAUCCUAGCCUUCAGAUGAACACCUAGAAUUCUCCUGCACCAUGCCUGCCUGGAUGUUGCCAUGUUCCUGCUUUGAUGAUAAUGAACCGCUGAACCUGUAAGCCAGCCCCAAUUAAAU